GAUGAACGCUGGCGGCGUGCCUAAUACAUGCAAGUCGAGCGAACAGACGAGGAGCUUGCUCCUCUUACGUUAGCGGCGGACGGGUGAGUAACACGUGGAUAACCUACCUAUAAGACUGGGAUAACUUCGGGAAACCGGAGCUAAUACCGGAUAACAUGUUGAACCGCAUGGUUCAACAGUGAAAGACGGUUUUGCUGUCACUUAUAGAUGGAUCCGCGCCGCAUUAGCUAGUUGGUAAGGUAACGGCUUACCAAGGCAACGAUGCGUAGCCGACCUGAGAGGGUGAUCGGCCACACUGGAACUGAGACACGGUCCAGACUCCUACGGGAGGCAGCAGUAGGGAAUCUUCCGCAAUGGGCGAAAGCCUGACGGAGCAACGCCGCGUGAGUGAAGAAGGUCUUCGGAUCGUAAAACUCUGUUAUUAGGGAAGAACAAAUGUGUAAGUAACUAUGCACGUCUUGACGGUACCUAAUCAGAAAGCCACGGCUAACUACGUG
rnacentral:rRNA from 1 species